GUUUUGAACCUAUCAGUUAUCUGAACUUUUGUCUAUCCACUGAUUGUGGAUUAAUGCACCUCAGUUCCUUCUAAUUGCCACUUGUGGAGCCAUUAAUCUGAGCAUCAGUUAUUUGGACCUACAUCCAUGAACCUUUGUGUUUUGUGGCCUCAGCAGGCGGGUCAGAUGUUCUAUGUCGGCCUGCCCUCCAGCUACAGCCUUCCCACUCUGGAGGCCCCCCUGCCGAGGCUCCCCUCCUAUGAGAGCGUCCGAAAGAAGGACCGCCAGAGGCAGAUCCACAUGAUGAUCGCAGAUCGUUUUGGGCUCAAUGGACCCAUUGUGACUGAGCCUCCUCCAACAUAUGAAGAAAGCAUCCGUCAGUCUGUGGAGCUUCCGUACGACAUCGUCCCGUCCAGCCUGGACGUCUCUGCUCUGAGAGAACCCGCCCUCCACCCUGACACCGCUCAUCCAACCACCACCUCUGAAUCCAACAUCACCGUGCUUCCUGUGUGAACGAUCACACAUCACUCGCACCUCAGAUACCUCAAGACUGUUGGACGGCUGAUGUUGAUCAUGAGCUGAGGAGAAACCAAAAAGCAGCUGCACGCCCCCCAGUGGACACACGUGAAUGUUAAAUAUACUUCUGCUCCACCAUGACACACUGGAUACUCAUGAAGGCGUGCGGCUGGUACAUCCUGAAGAGGAUGAAACUCACCAAAAAGGGGCACCACUAUUAUCACUGAAUGGAUCGUUUGUGUUUUAAUUCUGCUGAUUCUGAGCUACAAACCUCACUGACUUUUUAAUGAGGCUUCCUUAACACGACCUCCUGGUGCUGAUGAGAGUGCCUUCAGGAAGUGAAGCUAUGUUCUGUGAAGGCAGCUGGAGGUGAUGGAGUUCAUUUUUUAUAAGGC
rnacentral:lncRNA from 1 species